rnacentral:misc_RNA from 1 species
GGUUCUCCACAUCAUUUUGCGGGGCUGCCUCAUAACUUGCAGUAUAGUGGAAAUGUUGCUCAGUUCACCCCAUCAGGCCUCCCCAUUAAUAACCGGCAACCUAGUCAUUGGUUGAGCCAAAGCAGUUUAUUUUCUGGUGAAAAUCCAAACCUUGUACCUAACUUGUUGCAGCAACAGUUGCAUCACCCAAAGGGGUUAACACCUACUCAGUUAUACUCUCUGCA